AGUGCUUCUUGCCUCUGAUUGAAGGGCUGUGUGCAUUUUAAUUGGGCAUGUAGCCAAUAAGAAGAUAGAUCUCAAUGCCAGCACAGUGGGAAAAUCCUGAUGUUCUCUUUGAAGUCUCCAUCAGAACUGCUGAUUCAUUUCUCCAUCCCAACUAAAAGCAUGCAGCCAGAGAAGCAGCGAAAUUGAAAGCAGUCGACAUGAACAAACAUAAUUUGUCCUGGACAAAGCUCCAAUAAUCAAAACGAAAAAAAAUAAACUGGUGGCAGAUGAUGUCGCACUUUAGGACUGAGGCCAGGCUACGACAUUAUUAAAGACUGCAGCUUCAAAAGCAGGAUCCUACUUCUUCACAAAAGACAGGAACAGUUGGACUGUGAACUGUAAUGCUGGGAAUAGAGAAACCUCUGCCAUUGCUGAUUCCUGUAGAUGUCAUAAGCAGUCUAGUUCUACUCAGUCGGUGUACAGUAGGGCUCUGGUCACACCCAGGAUCUGAGUACUGAAAUAUAGCCAGAGCCUGACUGGUGAGAAGCUACACUGUUGAAGUAUUAUUAGCACUCCUUGCCCCUGAUUAAACUGAGCAUGGAUUAAGAACUAAGAAGCAGAGUGGUCUGAAUUCCAGGAAUGGUAGCAAAUCCUGUCUAUCUCUUAGAUCUGUCCAUCAGAACUGUUGAUUCAUUCUUCCUUCCUACAUGAAUGUGUCUUCAGCAGAAGCAGAGACAUUGAAAGUGGAUGAGAGCAGAAAAAUAUGAUUUACCCUUGUCUCUCACUACAAUUAUCAAAAGGAAAAAAAGACUCUAGGGUCACUGGGAAAAUUGACAAUGACAAAGCAAUUCCUACAGUGGAUCUUCCAGGGGACAGAAAAGAGCCUGACUCCCCUAGUGCUUGUCACACACUGAAGUCUAAACUGGAUCAUCUGCCUUGCAUAUGACUUCAGAUCUGACACAGGGGCAUGAUAUCUUAAAAGAGAAGGAGAAGCAUCAGAAGCAGGAUGCUGCUUCCUGCCCAGGAGACAGAUCAGUGACUGAGAGCUGCAAUUCUGGAAAUCAAACAAACCCUGCCUUUGUUGAUCCCAACAGGCCCUGACUCAUAGAUGUCAGCAUCACUCUGCCUUGUCUCGAUCAGUAUGCAGUUGGUUCUGGUCAUACCUAGGUCUACUGAAUCCUAAGUAUGACCAGAACCAGACUGGUAAGAAGCCUCACUGCUGUUGCUUUUAUUAGCACUCCUUGCCCCUUCUUGAAGGACUGUGUGCAUUCAAAUGGAAUAUCGAAUAGGAACCAAUGAGGAGAGUGUUCUCAUUUCCAGCACUGAAGGCAAACAGUGUGGUUUCCUUGGAGAUCUUCAUAAGAGAUAGUGAUUCAUUUCUCCCUCCCUCCUUAAACUGUGCUACAGAAGGAGUGAAAGUGAAAGUAGAUGAAAGCAGAAAAGUGCAAUUUACCCUGGGUUCUGAUGGCAAUUUUCAAAAGGAAAGAAACCAGUAUGUGACUACCAGGGAUUGAUCAUAAACCUGCUUGUUUCAUCAAGCAUAAUUGUUAUGUUCAUGAAAGCUCCAUUUCUCCCUGGAGAUAGCCCUCCAGUACUGGGAAUCAAAUAAUACCUGCCUUUAAUGAUUGCCAAGGGAUCUGACUCCUGUGGAUGUCAUGAGCAGUCUGCCAUGUUUGGGGUUUCUCUGUGUAGCUAUGGAGCCUAUCCUGGCACUUGCUCUGAGGACCAGACUGGCAAUGAACUCACAGAGAUCCGUCCACCUCUGCCUCCCGAUUGCUUGGAUUAAAGACUUGUGCCACCAACGCCCGACAGCUUCCAGGUCCUUAAAGAGGACAACUAAUAGGCUCCCUUGGUUUUAGAGCUACAGUAAUCAAGAACCUGGAACUAUGCCUGUGGGAAAAUCUCCCUGCUCUUAUUCUGGAAGAGGAAUAUAGAAAUAGAAGGAUCUCUACCAAAACAUUCCUAUAUACCUAGACAUGUACAUCACUUGACCCACAUCUGAGAGUCUUCUACUUGUACUACAUAAGGAAUAACAUUGCAAUGCUCAGAUUCUCGAUGUGAUCCACCAGCAAGGGAGGACUCCAAUGGAAGGCGUCCGAUAAGAUAAGUCUUAUAAAAUAUGUAGAUUUAUGAUAAUUAAGAAUGAGCUAUCAGAUGAGAAUCCUAGUCAUUGGCCAAGCAGCAUUUGUACAUAAUAGAAGGCUCUGUUUUAUUUUGUCCAUCCACAUGGUGGCAGAACUCA
ensembl:lncRNA